GUGGAUGUAGCUCAGAGGUAGAGCUCCGGAUUGUGGUUUCGUAGGGCAUGGGUUCGAUCCCCAUCAUCCACC
rnacentral:tRNA from 1 species